UUUUAAUAUGGCAGAUUUUAAGUGCAUUAGAUCUAAAAUCUAUAAAUAAAGAAUUUAUCUUUUAUUAAAAA
rnacentral:tRNA from 1 species